rnacentral:lncRNA from 1 species
AAUAAAUUAAAUGUAUCUAUUGCAACUUAAAUCAGUUUCUGUACAUUUGCCACAUGCUUUUGAAAACAGAUUAACCAGACCAAUAGCCAAGAUAAUCUCAACCUCAUCCUUCUAUUCGGAGCUCCACCUGCAAGUGUGCACAAAAAAAUGCAUAAAUUAACGCAAUCCAUAACCCCAACUAACGCAAGCGCGGGAAAAAGAAAAAAAAAAGAUAAAUUACAGGAUAUUCACAAAAUAUAACCUUAAUCACACGAACUAAGAAAAUGUGAAACCACAUGCACCCAGAGAAAUAAAGUACCACAUAGUCCACCAAGCUCGCACAGUCUCAAA